AACGCACGAGACCUGCGGACCUGCGGAAGGAUCAUUAAAGAGAAAACUGCCCUUUGGGUAGAUCUCCCACCCUUUGUUUACCUUACCUUUGUUGCUUUGGCAGGCCCGUCUUCUGACCACCGGCUUUAGCUGGUCCGUGCCUGCCAGAGGACCCCAAACUCUUAAUUUUAAGUUGUCCGAGUCUUAUAAAAUAGUAAAAACUUUCAACAAUGGAUCUCU
rnacentral:misc_RNA from 1 species